GGUCCCGCCUGCCCUGUGACUAUAAGUUUAACGGCCGCGGUAUUUUGACCGUGCGAAGGUAGCGCAAUCACUUGUCUUUUAAAUGGAGACCUGUAUGAAUGGCACGACGAGGGCUUAACUGUCUCCUUUUUCUAGUCAAUGAAACUGAUCUCCCCGUGCAGAAGCGGGGAUAACCCCAUAAGACGAGAAGACCCUAUGGAGCUUUAGACACUAAAGUAGAUCAUGUUAAACACCCCAAAUUUAAAGGACUAAACCAAAUGAGCCCUACCCUAAUGUCUUUGGUUGGGGCGACCGCGGGGAAAUAAAAAACCCCCAUGUGGACUGAGAGCACCCCUCUUACAUCCUAGAGUUACCACUCUAAUAAACAGAAAUUCUGACCUAUAUGAUCCGGCAAUGCCGAUCAACGGACCGAGUUACCCUAGGGAUAACAGCGCAAUCCUCUUUUAGAGCCCAUAUCGACAAGAGGGUUUACGACCUCGAUGUUGGAUCAGGACAUCCUAAUGGUGCAGCCGCUAUUAAGGGUUCGUUUGUUCAACGAUUAAAGUCCUACGUGAUCUGAGU
rnacentral:rRNA from 1 species